UACGUAGGGUGCGAGCGUUGUUCGGAAUUACUGGGCGUAAAGCGAACGUAGGCGGUGUUCCAUGUCAGAGGUGAAAGCCUGGGGCUCAACUCCAGAAUUGCCUUUGAAACGGGGACGCUUGAGUCCGAGAGAGGGUGGCGGAAUUCCUAGUGUAGAGGUGAAAUUCGUAGAUAUUAGGAAGAACACCAGUGGCGAAGGCGGCCACCUGGCUCGGUACUGACGCUCAGGUUCGAAAGCGUGGGGAGCAAACAGG
rnacentral:rRNA from 1 species